UUCUGUUCUAAGGGAAGAAACAAAUGACGGUACCUUAGAAGAAAGCCCCGGCAAACUAUGUGCCAGCAGCCGCGGUGAUACAUAGGGGGCAAGCGUUGUCCGGAAUGACUGGGCGUAAAGGGAGUGUAGGCGGUUCUUUAAGUUAAAUGUGAAAUCCUAAGGCUUAACCUUAGAACUGCAUUUAAUACUGGGGAACUUGAGUGUGGGAGAGGUAAGUGGAAUUCCUAGUGUAGCGGUAAAAUGCAUAGAUAUUAGGAGGAACAUCGGAGGCGAAGGCGACUUACUGGAACACAACUGACGCUGAGGCUCGAAAGCGUGGGGAGCAAACAGGAUUAGAUACCCUGGUAGUCCACGCCCUAAACGAUGGAUACUAGAUGUAGGCGGUAUCGACUCCGCCUGUAUCGUAGCUAACGCAAUAAGUAUCCCGCCUGAGUAGUACGGCCGCAAGGUUAAAACUCAAAGAAAUUGACGGGGACCCGCACAAGCAGAGGAGCAUGACGUUUAAUUCGACGCAACGCGAAAAACCUUACCAAGGCUUGACAUCCGCAGAACACCUGAGAAAUCAGAAUGGUCUAGCAAUAGACUGCGAGACAGGUGGUGCAUGGUUGUCGUCAGCUCGUGUCGUGAGAUGUUCGGUUAAGUCCGUCAACGAGCGCAACCCUUGUCACUAGUUGCCAAUAUUUAGUUAGGAACUCUAGUGAGACUGCCGUGGCUAACACGGAGGAAGGUGGGGAUGACGUCAAAUCAUCAUGCCCCUUACGCCUUGGGCUACACUCGUGCUACAAUGGCAGUUACAAAGAGACGCAAUACCGUAAGGUGGAGCAAAUCUCAAAAAGGCUGUCCCAGUUCGGAUUGAGGGCUGCAACCCGCCCUCAUGAAGCUGAAUUUGCUAGUAAUCCCGAAUCAGAAUGUCGGGGUGAAUGCGUUCCCGGGUCUUGUACACACCGCCUGUCAAGCCAUGAGAGUUGAGAGCACCCAAAACCGUUAGCCUAACCGCAAGGGGGGCGGCGUCUAAGGUGAGAUCAAUGAUUGGGGUUAAGUCAUAACAAGGUAGCCGUAUCAGAAGGUGCGGCUG
rnacentral:rRNA from 1 species